GUUUGACAUGGUUAAUAUUAAAACUACCCUCUUCUUCCUCAGUCUCUGACUCGGUUCCCACCAAAUCACCGGCCGACAAACAAUCCGGCCGUGUUCUACCCUUCCCGUUAGCUUUUUAGUAAUUUUACACAAUUCCCACCACAUGCUUGAUGAAACAUUGCAAUGCUCUUGAUAAAAAUAAUUUCGAGAAUGGAAAACAACAAGAAGGUGAAGGCAAGUGGCAACACUUCUCACUGCUCUGCUACUGUUUUUGUUGCCAAUUUACCCUUUUCUUUCACCAGUACUCAGCUUGAAGAAACAUUCAGUGAGGUUGGACCAGUUAGACGGUGCUUUAUGGUCACCAAGAAAGGGUCCAGUGUACACCGAGGCUUUGGCUUUGUUCAAUUUGCCACUGUUGAAGAUUCUCACCGUGCAAUUGAGCUGAAAAAUGGCUUGAUCAAUGGAGGUAGAAAAAUUGGAGUGAAACAUGCUAUGCAUCGUGCUCCACCUGAGAAAUGUCGAGCAAAAGAAAAUAGAGUUCACACUGAAGAUGUUAUUGAGACCGACAAAGAUGUUUUAACCACAGAGAUAGAAAAACUCAAGAAGGAACCACCAAACUCUCAUUUAGAAGUUCAUAUGGAAGAUGUUGUUGAGACAAAGAACGACAAGAACAUUUCUGCCACAUCAGAAGAAAAGCUUGGGAAGGCACCAAACUCUCAAGUGGAAGGUAAAUCCAAGAAGAAACAAAAAGGAACUGUGAUUUCUAGUAGUCUGCCUGAUCAAAGAAGUGGUACAGAAAAAACAAAGAAUUAUUCACACGGAGCUCUCUACAUGCUAAUAGGGUCGCUAAGACAGUCAUAUUUGGUGGUCUUCUUAAUGCUAAUGUGGCAGAGGAAGUACACCGUCAAGCAUGGAACUGUGGCACAGUAUGUUCUGUCACCUACCCUCUUCCCAGAGAAGAGCUUCAGCAUCAUGGGCUAGCUCAAGAUGGAUGUAAAAUGGAUGCUUCUUCUGCACUUUUUACAAGUGUAAAAUCGGCCCGUGCAUGCGUUGCAUCAAAAAGAGAUUCAGGGGCUAUCUAUUUUGGCACGGCAGCUUGGUGGAGAGGACCUAUCAUUUGGGAAGACGAUUGGCAGUGUUAAGGAAUGUGAGAGACUUUACUACUUUGAAGAAGCGGAUGUGAGUCAACUAAAUCAAAUUGCAACUUGUGAUUCUGUUCUUAUUCCUAGAGAUAGCGAACUUCUAUUAUGACAUUUUAGAAUAGGUCAUACUAAUUUACAAUAUCUACGACAUGUAUUUUCUUCCGAGUUUUCAAUUAAAAAUUCCUUUGAUCUUCAGUGUGAGCAUUGUGAGCUGGCAAAACAUCAUCGUUCUUCAUUCCCGAAAUCAACAUACAAACCAACGAAACCGUUUACCUUGAUUUAGAGUAUUUGGUUGCACUACUUUCGUCCAUAUACAUAACCAUCAUUGGGGAAAACUUGACCCUCGUUCCCUUAAAUGUGUACUCAUUGGAUACUCUUCUACUCAGAAAGGAUACAAAUGUUAUGAUUCAUCUACAAGAAAAUUAUUUGUUACCCUUGAUGUCACGUUCUUCGAACGAACGCUCUACUUCAAAAACCCCUAUCUUCAGGGGAGAAUUCAAGUGAAGAUAGGGUAAGGAAAGAUAUCUUCGGCUUUGAUCUCUCUCCUAUUGAACUAAUUAUACACACACCAACUUGUCCGAACUUGCCAUUUACAAAAGGAAACUUAAACUUAUGUGAAGAUACAGGAAAGCAAGUUGACAAGGAGAUUUGGUUUAUUCAAGAAAGCCAAAGUCAACGUAUAAGGAGAACCUCACAUCCGAAGCACCAAAAGAGUUGGAACUGAUGACUCCUCCAGUUAACAUCGAGUCUUCAGGAAAUGAUCUACCUAUUGCUCUCAGAAAACAACCUCGGUCAUGUACUUUUCACCCUAUUUCAAAAUUUGUAUCCUAUAACACCCUUUCUGCAGGAUUUCGUGUUUUUUCUUCUAACCUUGACAGUACAAAAAUUCCAAACAAUAUCCAGGAAGCCAUGGCUAUUCCCAAAUGGAAAGAAGCUGUUUUGGAAGAAAUGCGAGCAUUGGACAAAAAUAAACCUUGGGAUGUGGUAGAGUUACCAAAAGGAAAAAAACCUGUUGGUUGCAAAUGGGUCUUCAAUGUGAAAUACAAAGCAGAUGGGACUAUAGAAAGAUACAAAGCUCGCCUGGUUGCAAAAGGAUAUACACAGACCUAUGGCAACAACUACACAGAAACAUUUGUUCCGGUAGCAAAAUUGAAUACCAUCCGGGCAAUCUUAUCCAUAGCAGCAAAUUUGGACCGGCCUUUCUAACAACUCGACAUUAAAAACGCAUUCUUGAAUGGAGAAUUAGAAGAAGUUUUCACGACAUUACCUCCAGGUUUCUCUAGAAGGGGUGAAGAAAACAAAGUGUGCAAACUCAGAAGAUAGGGCUACCAAGAAACAGAAACGUUCUAUGCGAAGUAGGAUAGAUGGUGCUUUACCUGAGAAAACCUUAAAAGGCUUGAAGCAGUAGGUGGUGAACCAGCUGAAAAUAAGGAAGCCCUGGAGCGGCGAAGACACAAACAUGAAAAGAAAAAGAAUCGGAUCGCAAGAUCUAACUAAACAAUCCAAAGAAGACAGUAAUCCAAGGAAAAGAGGUAAAAAUAAUAAUGAUCCAUUGGGAAGAGAUGUAGUCGAUAAACUCGAUAUGUUGAUCGAACAAUAUAGAUCCAAAUUUACGUAGACCAAUUCUAAUCCAACCGAUGUUGACAAGAAGCAAGGCUCCAAGCAGCAGCUCAAGAGGUGGUUCCAAUGAUAAUUUUGUCUUAAAAGUCAUAAAAGAUCCUAGUGUGUUUGUUUCUUGGUACUUUAAGCUGACAUGUACGCCUUGAUCUUUUUCUCCGGAAAGGAUCAAUUGAAACCCUCUAAUGGUUUCAACUAGACCAACAUAUUUCUUUGGAGAAUCGGUAAAUACUUUUGCGCAGAGAAUUGAACCAAUAAUUUUCUUUCUUCAUCAUCAAUCGAAUCACUGUUCGCGACCUAGGAUUCUAUUUUAUCAUCAAUCCAAUACCUGUUCACGUUUUUUCUUUUUCUUAUUUUUCCCUUCGAAAAUUUUGUUUUAAUCUCACAUUCAAAUUUUUUGGGGUUUUUUUAACCGAUCAUAGUGUUUUUAUCCCCUCGUCUAAGAUGCACAUUUAACAGUUGGAACGAAUCAGUUUGGCAAUAAUGUAACAAGUGAAAUUUAACAGCCUCCAUACAAAUGGCAUAUUCGUUUUGUUAAAUUGGUCAAAACAUAAACAUGCUUAAACAUCCCACGAUAGUUAGAGAUGGCAAUGGAGCAAGUGGGUCGAGGCGGCCCUUUAUGUUCUACUGCCCUGUUGUCGAUUUUUGGGAGGUGGAGUGGGACUAAAAUAUUCGCAUUUUUCGAUCAGUUUACUUAUUUGUUAUAUUCUUUAAUACAGUCAAGAUGGGAACAUAGUCCCCUCUUCGACACCGACAGGAGCAAAACAUUUUGUCAUUCUUAUGGAGCUUGUUUGGAAUAAUAUAUUAUACGGAAUUCACUUCUCUCCACCUUUUGUUGAUACAUUCUUCAAAAAAAUUAUUUUUCACUUGUAAAAUCUUCGUCAAACAAGCUCUUGAUAGUGGGAGACCAGAUUUUGUUGAUUUCUUUUUGCAAUAAUAAUUUU